AGACGGUAUUUCAGGAGGAAGCCCCGGCUAACUACGUGCCAGCAGCCGCGGUAAUACGUAGGGGGCAAGCGUUGUCCGGAAUGAUUGGGCGUAAAGGGCGCGUAGGCGGCCUGUUAAGUCAGAAGUGAAAGUCCUGCUUUCAAGGUGGGAAUUGCUUUUGAUACUGAUGGGCUUGAGUGCAGGAGAGGUUAGUGGAAUUCCCAGUGUAGCGGUGAAAUGCGUAGAGAUUGGGAGGAACACCAGUGGCGAAGGCGACUAACUGGACUGUAACUGACGCUGAGGCGCGAAAGUGUGGGGAGCAAACAGGAUUAGAUACCCUG
rnacentral:rRNA from 1 species